rnacentral:rRNA from 1 species
GAUGAACGCUGGCGGCGUGCCUAAUACAUGCAAGUCGAGCGAACAGACGAGAGUGCUUGCACUCUCUGACGUUAGCGGCGGACGGGUGAGUAACACGUGGGUAACCUACCUAUAAGACUGGGAUAACUUCGGGAAACCGGAGCUAAUACCGGAUAAUAUUUAGCUUCGCAUGAAGCAAUAGUGAAAGACGGUUCUGCUGUCACUUAUAGAUGGACCCGCGGUGUAUUAGCUAGUUGGUGAGGUAACGGCUCACCAAGGCAACGAUACAUAGCCGACCGGAGAGGGUGGUCGGCCACACUGGGGCUGAGACACGGCCCAGUCUCCUACGGGAGGCAGCAGUAGGGAAUCUUCCGCAAUGGACGAGAGUCUGACGGAGCAAGGCCGCGUGAGUGAAGAAGGUUUUCGGAUCGUAAAACUCUGUUGUAAGGGAAGAACAAGUACGUUAGUAACUGAACGUACCUUGACGGUACCUUACCAGAAAGCCACGGCUAACUACGUGC